rnacentral:lncRNA from 1 species
UUCCUCGGCCUCCACUUUCAAUCCUCAGGCUCCCUGGGGGUUUAGAGCCAGCGCGGACCUCUGUAGUGGGAAACCUGUUGCGUCUGCCGAGGGAGCUGUUUUGCAGAUUCAGUAGAGUUCCUGGUGGUCCUCUUGAGUUAAGGGCCACCGGGACUGAGACAGCUUUCCAUGGACAAUUCUGAAGAUGACCCGACCAUAUUUAGUACGCACUGUAUGCCCAGUGACCCCAGGUUCUGGGCCACAGUAACCAACUCGUACCUGGGUACACGUGUAUAUCAUGACACCAUACACGUAAACGGUGUGUACAAUGGAGCUGGAGGGCACACUCACCGGGCAAUUCUGCCCAGCCCCCUCAAUGUCCAGCUGGAGGCGCCUGCAGGAACAAAACCACUGACUGAGACCUUUACCCUGGAUACUAACACAGGUUCCUUCCUGCACACCCUGGAAGGCGCUGGCUUCCGGGCUUCCCAAUGCAUCUAUGCUCACCGUGUGUUACCCCAUGUCCUGGCCUUCAGCGUGUCCAUUGAACGCUUGACUACAGGCAACAAGCCCAUCACAGUGUUGCUACCGUCAUCCUUCUCCCCAGAAAGCCCAGACUUGGGCCUGCAAGUAGGGCCUGACUUCCAGGGAGCCCGGUACCUACAUGGGCACACACUCACCCCUGAGCAGCCAGGAGAGCCACAGCAGGAAGUACACAUGUUGUGGAUACCAGUGCCCCCAGCCUUGACACUUGGGGAAGACGAACAGGACAGGACCUGGGACUUUCUGACUGUGGUUGGUGGCAGCCAGUCUGAGGCCCAGGGCUGCUUUGCUGAGGCCCUGCAGCUGCAAACCAGGGGUGAUCUGUAUACAGUCCAUGCAGACACUUGGGUCCAGCUCUGGGCAGGCUGUGGCCUGGAUGUGACUGGGCCCUUGGCCCUGCGCCAAGCCCUUCGUGGUUCUCUCUACUACCUGCUCAGUGAGCUUCCCCAGCCCGGCACCAAAGGAUUCAUCAACCAUGGGCUUAGCCCUGGAGGCCUCGCUAAUGGGAGUCAGGAGGAGUGCUACUGGGGCCAUAUAUUCUGGGA